UGGGCUGGAAACGCAUCUGAGCCCAUGUUGACCUCUGGGCAACCCUUGGCCUGAGGGUCCUUCGCUGCCAGAAGGAAGUUGUGCCACCGCCACCCCCGUAGGGCUGUCCCCCUCACCGGGCCACCCAGCGGGGGCACCUCCCUGGCAGCAGCUCACACACCUCCUCUCAUACGUGCCAAUACUGCAGCCUCGCAUCUCAGAGGGGCCGAGCGCACACCACCACCUGCCCCGAUGCUGACCCGGAGGCCCCAGGAGUGGCCCAGGCAGAGAGGACUUGAACUGAGUCCCGUGCAGCCCCCUUGCCCCAGAGACCCUUCCUUCAGUGAUUCUUUUUUUUAGAUGGAGUCUUGCUGUUGUCACCCAGGCUGGAGUGCAAUGGCACGAUCUCGGCUCACUGCAACCUCCGCCUCCCGGGUUCAAGUGAUUCUCCUGCCUCAGCUUCCUGAGUAGCUGGGAUUACAGGUGCCCGCCGCCACGCCCAGCUAAUUUUUGUAUUUUUUCAGUAGAGAUGGGGUUUCGCCACGUUGGCCAGGCUGGUCUCGAACUCCUGACCUCGUGAUCCGCCCGCCUUGGCCUCCCAAAGUGCUGCGAUUACAGGCGUGAGCCACCGUGCCCAGCCCCUUCAGUGUUUCUUCUAUAGCCAAGCUGCUGGUGCCGGGGAAACCAAGGCGCCUGGAACCCUGAUUUCUGACGUGAGGGAUAGAACUCCUGAUGUCCUAGGAAGACACGGGCUCGAGGGAGCCGACAGCGCCUGGUUUACGAAGACACAGGCUCAUGAGUGCGGACACCGCCUGGUUUAUAGAGGAAUGUCAUGAGGAAUGUGCCUCGUCCUCCACCAUCCCGUCUCCAGGCUUCUGGAAUCAGCUGGCUGGGAUCGCUGCCUCGUGUUUUCAGGAGAAAAAGCAAACCUGACCAUUCACAGACAGGGCAAGUCAGCCUCGUCCGGCCCCGCGUCCCGGUCGGGGAAUUCCAGUCCACGCUGGCUCCACCCGGCCCAAUCUCUUAGGGCAGCACCCACAGGAUCACAGCUUCUCCGAGAGGCAAAGCUCAGCUUCAAGGGGGGAGCUCUGGAAGAACAGUUUCCUGGGUCCCAGGCCCUACCCCUUUUUCAAACACCGCUUUGCUCUCUGAUGCAGCUCCAGCCCCCGCCCCUGGCGACUCCCCCUGGCCUCCUGGUGCUUGCCCCAGGCCCUGGCCCGGGCUGAGCUCACAGGCUUCCCUGCCCCAUCUCAGGCGCCUCUCCCCAUCCUCUCCUCUACCCCGAAGCCGGGCCCGGCCCAGCGGCCCCGGGAGGGACUGCCGCGACACGUCUCACUGGUCGCUCGUGGAAGCAGGCUGGGUGAUUUUGCCGGCCGUCCCCGUGUGUUCAAGGGACUGUCAUGGACUCCACAGACAGUGGGAAAGCGCUCCCAGCAGCCACUGGGAACUUGGCCGCCUGCACCCCAUUGUCCACGUUCCGGCCCCACUUCCUUUGGUCGUGAACCAGCAGAAGUUGCUGAGGUCUGUUUCCCCCAUCAGGGUUCAAAUGACCUGGGUGAGUCAUAUUGCGGCCACUUCCUUUGGGAGACACUCACCAAAUAUCCACAAUUUUACUCCCGGCAGCCAAGAAAUUUCCAUCUGUUCAGAACAUACAAUUAAAAAUACAUCCAAAGUGAAA